AGUGGCGAACGGGGUGAGUAACACGUGGGCAACCUGCCCAAAAGAGGGGGAUAACACUUGGAAACAGGUGCUAAUACCGCAUAACCAUAGUUACCGCAUGGUAACUAUGUAAAAGGUGGCUAUACUACCGCUUUUGGAUGGGCCCGCGGCGCAUUAGCUAGUUGGUAGGGUAAAGGCUUACCAAGGCAAUGAUGCGUAGCCGAAUUGAGAGGUUGAUCGGCCACAUUGGGACUGAGACACGGCCCAAACUCCUACGGGAGGCAGCAG
rnacentral:rRNA from 1 species